UUUUGUACAAAAUAAAUAUGUUAUGGUUUUGCCUCUGUUUGAGAACUCACUUUUCUAAAUAUUUGAUCAUAGGUUUAAUUGUGUGGGCAAUGUGUUUGACGUAAUGACUUUGAGAAGAGUCGUUUAUUAUGUAUGGUUUGAUUGUGAUUUGAAUUUAUGGUAAUUGUAUGGAGGCUGAAAGUAACGAUUGGUUUCUUCCUGAUGAAAUGAAAUAAUGUCCUAGUAAAUUUUUUGAAAUAAGGUUGAGAUGACAACGAAAAAAAAUCGAAACAUGUGUUUAUGGACGCAAUGAUUUAAAUUUUGGGAUUUCUAUUCUCAUAUUCACCAUUGAAACAAGAUUCAGAGGAGAUGAAUCAUAGGACUAAUUAUAGCCAGAAGAAUAGUGCUUAUGUAUGUGAAUUCGAUGAAUGACUGGCAUGAAGAUCUUUUAAGUACCAAUAUAUCAAAUUUGAAUAAUUUGUAGGCAACAAUAACUUUAAAGCAGUCGGAAAUCCAACGCUUGUAUCUAAGAAUUACUUUGAUUAGUAUUUGCAUAUCUUUAGGCCAGUGGCUCCCAAAAUUGGCAUCUAAUCUGGAUACAGCUGGGAAUUCUCUCCGAAGGGAAGUUGUAAGAACAAUCAAGAAAAACAAAUUAUAACAAAGUGGACAAUACUGCUGGUAAACGACUUUCACAUUUUCUUUCAUAAGACUUUUCCAUCCAAUAAACAUUCAUAAGUGCUCUUUGAUAUAUGUCUUCAACAUAAGUGGAUAACUAUCUUUUGAAGUUCUGUUGAUAACCAUAAUGGUUAAUUGGAAAUUAGUUCAAUUACAUCAUUUCAAAUAUAAACGUUAUCUAUUAUAGAGAAGUGUUACAAUGACACAUAAAGAAACCAACACUUAUGUUUUUGGCCAUCAAUAUUAAUAGAUAAUAAGCAUUCAAAUUAAGGGACAGUUAACAAACAUUGGUCAAUAAGACUUUUUAGCCACUAUUUAGUCCCUGCUAAUAUUUUGACCAAUGGUUUAUUUGAACUUUUAGUUGGUUUCUAUAAUGCACUAAUUUUUUCUAAUUAGUAAAUCUAACAAAGAAUGAACAAGAGGAAAAGGAAAAAAAAAAAGAAGAUAAAAAUAAGCAACUUACUUCCCUCAGCAGACAAAUAUAUGGUCUCUUUGAGUAAUUUUCAUUUCAAUAUAAGUGGAAAUUUGUUCUUAAUUGGAAAUUACAUAAUUGGAUAACCAUAAACAUUCAUAAGUUGUUAAUUGGAAAUUUCUCCAAGGUGUGUUGUAGUUGCCUCCCAAAAAUAUUAAAAUCUUGGAAUUCUUCCUCCCAAACUCAUUUCAAGAAUGAUGCUUUUAAUUUGUAGAACUUUUCUCUGGCAAAUGGUUACCCAAUAUUUGCUGGCACACUAAUCUUCCCUUAAGGCUUAAAUUCUAGGCUAUGUGGUUACCCUGAACAACAUAAGGAUCCAAAUAAUUUUCGUACUAAAUUUUAUAUUAAAAUUAUCUUCUUUCUAAUCCUUUUGCUUGUGCAUGUAUCUAAAUAUAAACUGACAUGUUUUAUUCUCUGAGGAAUAAGGGAUUGGUGCAUAAUUAGUCAAUUGUGCAAAAGCAUCUCGAUAAUUGUUGAAGUUGUUCUCUUUUAGUCACAAUUGUGAUAAAUUAUAGAGUGGUUCAGUUAUCUAGGUCUAACUUAUUCUGGUUGAACAUAUGUUUACUUGGAGAUAUUUGACUAAAUGCUUCCUAUGUAAGGUGUUUCAUUAUGAUUAAGCAGAAAAAAUAGUGUUUUUCUGUAUAACCAUUUAACAGUGGAAAAAAAAAAGUAUGUUAUAAUAGGUUAUAUCUUAAUAGUGUUGGUAUAAUAUCAUGGAUAAAGAUUGGGUACACCAAUCAAGAUUAUCUUAUCUCCUUAAGUUUAGAAUGUUUUUAAAUAUGUUCGUAUACACUUUUAGAUGAUUUACUUAGUGUUUUAUUAUAGAGUUUUGGAGGCAUAUCAACACGGUGUAAGAAGGUUUGCAAAUAUGGUGCAAGCCAAUGUAUGGAAUUCAGAAAAGAUCAUAUGCCCUUGCAAAUGUUGCAAAAACCUAUUUUACCAACAUUUUGAUACAAUGGGUGGGCAUUUGAUCAUUCAUGGGAUGGAUCUUACUUAUACUACGUGGGUGUUUCAUGGCGAAAAACCGAAUACAUCAUUGCCUCAUCAAGAUGUAGAAAAUUUUGAGACAUAUAGGAUGCAUUUCUUCAAGAUGACAAUAACAUAGAACCUGAGAAUGAAAGUCAAAAGAAAGAAUUUUCUAAUUUAUACGAGGGAGUUGAAAUUUCUUUAUAUCCCGAUUCUACAAAGUAUACAAGAGUAUCUGCAAUCGUUGUAUUAUACAAGCUUAAAACUACUCAUGGUAUAUCUGAUAAUGGUUUCAAUGAACUUCUUGAAAUAAUUUGAGACAUGCUACCGAUCACUCUUUCCUAUUCCUGUAAUUCAACAAAAAGGUUAUUGAAAACCUUUAAUUUGGGAUAUGAGAAGAUACAUGCAUGCGUAAAGGAUUGUUGUUUGUUUAAAAAGGAUCUAAAGGAUUUGGAGACAUGUCCAAAAUGUGCAUCUUCACAUUGGAAAGUUAAUUAACAGACUAAAAGGAUUCAAAAGGGAAUACCUGCAAAAGUUUUACGAUGUUUUCUAAUUAUACCUCUAUUUAGAAGAAUGUUUAGGUCACCUGACAUGGCAGAACAACUAAUAUGGCACUUAACUUACAAAAGUCAAGAUGGAAAAAUGCGUCAUCCUAUUGAUUCAUUAGCUUGGGAGAGAAUUGAUCAAAAAUAGCCUUCUUUUGCAUCAAAACCACGAAAUCUUAGGCUUGGCCUUUUGUCCAAUGGAUUUAAUCCUUUUGGUGAACUAAGGUCAGGUAUAGUUGUUGGCCGAUGAUUUUAGUUAUAUAUAAUCUACCUCCUUGGAUAUGCAUGUCCAAGGAAAAUUUAUUAUUGACUUUGUUAAUCCCAAGUCCAAAGCAACCUGGAAUGAUAUAGAUGUAUAUCUAAAACCACUUAUAGAAGACUUAAAGGAGUUGUGGAAUACUGGUGUUGAAAUAUAUGAUGGCUUUACCAAGUCUAUCUUCAAUUUGAAGGCUGUAUUUAUCUUGAAAAUUAAUGAUUUUUCGGCUAAUGGAAACUUAUCUGGAUAUCCCACAAAGGGCGAGGUGGCAUGUCCUGUAUGUGGUUUAUCCAUAUGUGCAAAAUGGUUGACAUAUAGUUGAAAGUUCGCAUAUUUGGGUCAUAGAAGAUUUCUUUCAUAUAAUCAUACUUUUCAAUCGAAAGAAGUUUGGUUUAAUGGAAAUAAGUAUCACAGGCCCAAUCCAAAAAUAUUAACUGGUCGAGAAGUAAUGUAUUCAAUAAAGAAUGUUAGCAAUGAUUAGGGGGAAAAAGGAAAAAAGGAAAUAGAAAAAACUAGUUACCCAUUGGCCAUGGAAAAGGAAAUCAAUAUUCUUUGAUCUACCGUAUUGGGAGGUUAGUUGUUCAAACUACUUGAAUUUAGUUAUCUUUUUGCAUAACUUUUUUUUCUAAAUUUAUAUCAUUAUUUUCAGAUACUACUUUUACGUCAUAAUUUGGACAAUUCUAUUUCUACUUGAAUAGAAUUUACAACGGAGUUUACAAACUCUCAACAAAAAACCUCUCAAAAGAGUCUCUCUGCACAUUGAGAAGAAUGUUUGUGAGAGCAUACUUGGCACUAUUCUGAAUAUGAAAGGAAAAUCAAAAGAUGGGCUCAAUUUUCGUAAGGAUUUGGUUAUUAUGGGUAUUAGAAAGAAUCUUCAUCCAGAGUUGAAAGAAAAUACAUAUUACCUAUCCGCAGCAUCAUACAUGCUAUCCAAAAGAGAGAUAGAGUUAUUUUGUAAGAGAUUAUUUGAUUUAAGAUUACCCGAUGGUUAUAGCUCUAACAUUUCAAAGUGUAUCUCAAUAACAGAUAAUAGGAUUUUAAAUAUAAAGUCUCAUCAUUGUCACGUGCUCAUACAACAAUUGUUAUCCAUUGCAUUAAGAGGACUUUUACCUAGAAGACCAAGAAAUGCAAUUUUUCGACUAUGUGCAUUUUUUAACAAAAUAUGUCAAAGAGUUAUUGAUAAAAAUAAUUUAGAAAAGUUUGAGGAGGAUGUUGCUGUGACUUUAUGUAUGCUUGAAAGGUAUUCCCUCCCUUUUUUUUUUUUGACAUAAUGAUUCAUUUAACCAUUCACCUUGGGCGUGAGGUUCAUAUUGGCGGACUGUACAAUAUCAUUGGAUGUGCCCAUUUGAGAGGUAACUUACCAUUAUACUUCUGUACUUAUUCAACCUUUCUUCUUCUAGUUUUUUAGGUCUCUCAUGCAUAUUAUGUGUGAAUUAGGUUUAUGAAGACACUUAAAGAAUAUGUUACAAAUCGUUCAAGACCUGAGGGCUGCAUAGUAGAAUGUUAUUUAGCCGAUGAAUGUAUGCAUUUUUGUAAUGCUUACAUGAAACAAGCUGCUGAGGUAGGAGUUCGACAUAAUCAAAAUGAGGAUUUCGAGAAUGAUACAACUAUUGAUGGACGUACAAUUUCUAAAGGAAAGUCAAAGAUUUUGAGUCAAGAAAUGUUAGAGGUUACUCAUCGAUACGUGUUGUUUAACAGUGUAGAAAUUGAACUAUAUAUAAUGUAAUCAAGUUAGUUAAUAAGUUAGUUUUACAUCGAUUAAUAUUUUCUCAUAAACUUGUAUUACUAUUCAUUUAUUUUAUUUUAUUUAUUUAGAUAAUCGUGCUGCCAAGAAUGAAACCUUAUUACAAAUGAAACAUAUGGAGACUUUCACUUCUUGGUUUGCAGAAAAAGACAAAGAAGACAAUUGUAACAUGUCAAGUAUAUUGAAAUGGCUUGCACGACGACCUAGAUGUGAGGUGAUGUCACAUUCUGGUUAUGUUGUCAAUGGACAUUGAUUUCAUACAACCAAUGUUAGUAGAAGUACACAAAAUAGUGGUGUUUCUAUUGAGGCACAAACUAUUUAUUGAUCUAGUGUGAAGGAUACAAGUCAUGUAGUUGGUAAAAUUUCGUAUUAUGGUGUUAUAAAAGAUAUAAUUCUACUAGACUAUCAUAGUUUUAAAGUUCCUAUAUUUCAUUGUGAUUGGGCAAAUAUAGAUAGCGGAGUCAAGAUUGAAGAAGGGUUUACAUUGGUAAAUCUUCAUAGAGGACAACAUCAAUUUGAAAGAGAUCCAUUUAUUUUAGCAUCACAAGCGAAAUAAGUUUUUUAUUCUAGAGAAAGUGAUACGUCUAGUUGGUAUAUUGUAUUGAAGGCGCCUCCUAGAGGAUUUCAUGAGUCAGAAAAUUUUGAUGAUGAUGCUUAUACUCCUUCCACGUUAGCUGCAUCAUCAAGACUUGAUAUGACUGUUGAAGAUGAAAGUUACGUGAGAUAUGACUUUGAGGGCAUUGAUAUUGAAUAUGAUACAAAUGAUGAAAGCUGACUUUUGUGGAAACUGAUGUGUAAAAUGAUUGGACAUAAUAUUUCAAAUCUUGGCGAAUCAUGUACUCAGGGCUACAAGAAAUCAAAACGAGCUAAAAAAGCUUUAGUUGUUGCUGCAACAAGAGAAGGAAAUGAAGGCAUAAGAAUAUCAGAGAGAGGUUCUAAUUCUGUACAACAUGAUGCAGAAGUCUUACCAAAUAGCAUCAGUACUAUUGAAAAAGGAAAGAAAGGAAGGGGUCGAGCAAAGUUGAACUAUCUCAACAACGGAAAAUGAGCAAAGUUAACUGUAAAAUUUAAUGAAAGAAGGUAACCAAUUUGUAAAGGAUCAAAUAAAUUAUCGUCGUUCCUUGAAACGACAGCUAGGGAACUUGUACCUAUUAUAAAGAAAGGUUGGUAAGAUUUCAACGAAAGUUUUCUUGAUGACAUACGGGUGCUUGUGUAGGUGAUGUAAACUUGACAUCACAUAUAGUGUAAAUUAAAUUACUAUUAAUCUUGUAUCUUUUGAUGCAGCAAAGGUUUGAUAUU